GGUAGUCCACGCCGUAAACGAUGGGUGCUAGGUGUGGGGAGUGUCGACUCUCUCUGUGCCGAAGCUAACGCAUUAAGCACCCCGCCUGGGGAGUACGGCCGCAAGGCUAAAACUCAAAGGAAUUGACGGGGGCCCGCACAAGCAGCGGAGCAUGUGCUUUAAUUCGACGCAACGCGAAGAACCUUACCAGGGCUUGACAUGCACGGGAAUACCGUAGAGAUACGGUAGCCCUUCGGGGCUCGUGCACAGGUGUUGCAUGGCCGUCGUCAGCUCGUGUCGUGAGAUGUUGGGUUAAG
rnacentral:rRNA from 1 species